rnacentral:rRNA from 1 species
UACGUAGGUGGCGAGCGUUGUCCGGAAUUACUGGGUGUAAAGGGAGCGUAGGCGGGGAUGCAAGUUGGAUGUGAAAUACCAGGGCUCAACUCUGGGGCUGCAUCCAAAACUGUGUCUCUUGAGUGAAGUAGAGGCAGGCGGAAUUCCUAGUGUAGCGGUGAAAUGCGUAGAUAUUAGGAGGAACACCAGUGGCGAAGGCGGCCUGCUGGGCUUUAACUGACGCUGAGGCUCGAAAGCGUGGGGAGCAAACAGG